CCUACGGGAGGCAGCAGUGGGGAAUAUUGCACAAUGGGGGAAACCCUGAUGCAGCGACGCCGCGUGAGUGAAGAAGUAUUUCGGUAUGUAAAGCUCUAUCAGCAGGGAAGAAAAUGACGGUACCUGAUUAAGAAGCCCCGGCUAACUACGUGCCAGCAGCCGCGGUAAUACGUAGGGGGCAAGCGUUAUCCGGAUUUACUGGGUGUAAAGGGAGCGUAGACGGCAGCACAAGUCUGGAGUGAAAUGCCUGGGCUUAACCCCGGAACUGCUUUGGAAACUGUGCAGCUAGAGUGCAGGAGAGGUAAGUGGAAUGCCUAGUGUAGCGGUGAAAUGCGUAGAUAUUAGGAGGAACACCAGUGGCGAAGGCGGCUUACUGGACUGUAACUGACGUUGAGGCUCGAAAGCGUGGGGAGCAAACAGGAUUAGAUACCCUAGUAGUC
rnacentral:rRNA from 1 species